UUUGCAUAUCAUGUACAUGUGAGUCUUGUAUUGAGCCUUAUUGCAUCUUGUUUGUACCUUUGAUUGGCUCUUGUGAGAGAUUAAUGGAUUAUUUCAUUAUGGGGGAGUGAUGUGCUUUGCACACCUCACGAUCCUAUAAAUAUGUAUACAUGGGGAAUACCACUUAGUAUUGAUAUUUCAAGAUUAUCUAGCUUCUAUG
rnacentral:lncRNA from 1 species